AACGAACGCUGGCGGCAUGCCUAACACAUGCAAGUCGAACGAGACCUUCGGGUCUAGUGGCGCACGGGUGCGUAACGCGUGGGAACCUGCCCUUAGGUUCGGAAUAACUCCCCGAAAGGGGUGCUAAUACCGGAUAAUGUCUUCGGACCAAAGAUUUAUCGCCUUUGGAUGGGCCCGCGUUGGCUUAGCUUGUUGGUAGGGUAAAAGCCUACCAAGGCGACGAUCCAUAGCUGGUUUGAGAGGAUGCUCAGCCACACUGGGACUGGGACACGGCCCAGACUCCUACGGGAGGCAGGAGUGGGGAAUAUUGGACAAUGGGCGAAAGCCUGAUCCAGCAAUGCCGCGUGAGUGAUGAAGGCCGUAGGGUUGUAAAGCUCGUUUACCCGGGAUGAUAAUGACAGUACCGGGAGAAUAAGCACCGGCUAACUCCGUG
rnacentral:rRNA from 1 species